UAUAGGUACUAGAAACCGAAGCUUUGAUGCGAAUUUUCCACUUAAAAGCCAAAUUAGGGUCUUGUGUGGACGAUCACAGCCUGUCAUUGACUGUGCUCUGGUUCUGUCACAUUGUUGGCGCUGUUUAUCAGCGAUGGUCGUGCAGGUGUACGUUGUCUUGGAUUCCUGCUCCUUUCCUCCUUUCUUUGCUUUAUGUUCUCACCGAAACAAUGCCCCCGAAAACCAGAAGUUCUGGUCAAGUUUGCAGAGUUCAGUUAGGGGUUUGUGAGAAUCUGAAGUGUCGUGGGAUUGUAUUGUUGCGAAGCAGUGACCGAUUCUUGAUUUUGUCAUUUUUGGGAUACCUACAUUACCAGGGCUAGUGGAGCUCGACUGGGUCGCGCAGUAGAGGGCAGUGGGAGUGGUCAUUAUGGAUAGAGGAGUGCAGGAGUUCUACUCAACCGGUACGGCCCAGGGGAGGCAGGCAGAAGCGCAUUACAAAUCCUACGCGGAUGGCGUUGGUGGGAAGCAGUUCUUCCAAUGCCUCCUCUGCCUGUGCAUCAUCUACUUCGUUGCCCGAUUGUUGUUCGAUGGCAUCGUUGUAUUCCUGAUUGUAGGCCUCACUGUAGCUCUCAUCAUGCAUCUCCUUGACGGCUGGAACGCCAGCAUCAGACCUCCGAAGUAUGCCAAAACCCAUGUAAUUUAGAAGGCCUUGAGACGUUCUAUUUGUUUGUCUGAAGUAAAAGAAACACAUGAAGCAUGGACAGUGACGAGGGGAAUUCGAGGAUUAGAACUUCAGGUUUUGACCUUCGAUAAGUCGCAUGGGCAGGGCGGGUGAUGAAGUUUGUCAGCAUGAACAGAAUUUCCCCCAUGUUUAUUGAAUGCCACGAAAUUCGUGUCGUUACAGCUCGUCUUUACACCCACGACUCACGGUACCAGCGUUGUCACCAAUUCCCCUUAUGUGCCAUCGCCACCUCAUAGCCGUUGCCGUUUUCCUGUUCAUCAGAAAAAAAUGGCAUCGAUUACUUUUUCCGGCAUGUGACCGCAUCCUCUGAUUCGAACUUUCACGUUAGUCAGCUGAACCUGUAGCAAGGCUGCAACGUCCUCAGUUCAGUCGACCGAUUCUUCCGACUUCCCGCGAAAAUGCUAGACCCUGCAGCUCUUCCUCCAGCGAGUAGAGCCGAAUGAGCAACAGUCGAAGAGGGACAAUUCUCCUAAUGAGCCUCACAGUUAUCUGGAUGUCCUUGCAUUUAACACAAACUAGGUUUUUUUCAAGUGCAAUUCGCAUAGAUACCUCUCCUAUCACUUCCUAUGCGCCAACAUCACUUCAUCAAGCAUCAAACCUGUCAUUUUCUGAAGCAGUUCCAGAAACCAGUGAGCAGCAUGUCAAUCCA